GACGAACGCUGGCGGCGUGCUUAACACAUGCAAGUCGAGCGGUAAGGCCUCUUCGGGGGUACACGAGCGGCGAACGGGCGAGUAACACGUGGGUGACCUGCCCUCAGCUCUGGGAUAAGCCUGGGAAACUGGGUCUAAUACCGGACAUGUCCUUUCCUCGCAUGGGGUUUGGUGGAAAGUUUUUUCGGCUGGGGAUGGGCCCGCGGCCUGUCAGCUUGUUGGUGGGGUGAUGGCCUACCAAGGCGACGACGGGUAGCCGGCCUGAGAGGGCGACCGGCCACACUGGGACUGAGGCACGGCCCAGACUCCUACGGGAGGCAGCAGUGGGGAAUAUUGCGCGAUGGGCGGAAGCCUGACGCAGCGACGCCGCGUGGGGGAUGACGGCCUUCGGGUUGUAAACCUCUUUCGACCCCGACGGAUUUGGACGGUAGGGGUAGAAGAAGCACCGGCCAACUACGUG
rnacentral:rRNA from 1 species